GAGAAGCCUCACUUAUAGAGUAUCUCAUCUUGAAGAAUAAAGUGGGCAGCUCGUCAUCUCAACUUCUAUGCCUCCUCUUUGUCAGGGAGAGGCAGGGUGUGGUUUUGUAGGAAUGCAAUAAUGGGUCCCAUCCAUGACGGGAUAUUUUCUAACCACAUCACCUCUUCGUUUUUGAAAUUGAGGGCCUCAGAAGGUGCUCUAUGGGAACCAGAGUAACUCGGAGGAGAAGCUCGAGCACAAGACCGGCGACCUCAAGGCCAAGGUUAAUUCCUUAACCAUUUCAUUUUUACUUUUCCUUUCUCUUUCUCUUCUCCCUGAAGAGAGCCCAAAACUGUUGAUUAUUCAGUUUUAUAAACACAGUCCUAACCUUUUUUUACAAGAUAUGUUCGAAGAAUCUAAGACUCAAAUCGUCUGGUGGGCUCUCUAUGUACUUGCCAUCUCUUACUUCUUAACAUGUUAGCUCAUCUAUUUUUCUAAUUUUAAAUAAAUUGUCGGUGGUGUUGGUGCAUAAUUUUUGCUAUCUUAUAAGGUGUGAUAAUGGUUAGGUUUUGUAAAAAUAGUAAAACUGCAGUGCCAAUGGAGUGGCCGUCUACUCGGCGCCUCUUUACCCUCUACCUCGUGAUUGUAGUUCAUAGGGGUGAGAUCAGAUUUUGACACAAUUUAUCUUUUGUUUUGUUAAUUUCAUCAAACUGUAGUUUGUUUUCAUUAGCUAUUUUUAUUAACUAAUCUAUGAUUGAGUGAUGAAAAAGAAUUCAUGGAAUGAACUGCAAAUGUUCUUCAAUUUUUCAAGGCUUAUAGCAGUCACUGUCGAUGGAUGAUUUUCUUGAUGUAUUCCCAAGAUCUUCUAAUCAUAUAAAUCCGAUUAGUAUUUUGUUCAUAUCCGCUCACUCUUUAAUUUGAUUUGAUUUUUACUUGAUUUAUUAAAUUAUUUUCAUUUUUAGGCAGUCAAUUUGUCACUGAGUUCUUAAUUUUCUUUGAAAGGAAAUCAGAAAUUUCCCAUGUUCUUGUGCAUGUUGCUUGUUCAAGAAAGGGAAAAAUAAAUAUGUUUGCUAAAAUUUUGAAAUUUGUGAAUAUUCUUCAAAUAGAUUAAGCAGCAUUAAAGGAUUAGCACUUUGGAAGUAAAGGAUUAUAAUUUACAUUAAAAACACGUAUCUUUAUACUGCAAAUACCAAAUAAUUAAAUUGUUCCUCGAGCUGAAAAUAGAAUAUCCAAUCUCUUGAUUACUACCACUCAUUGAAAAUCAUGUGGAAAUUUCAGAAAUUUUUUUCCAUCUAAUUGUUUAUAGCUUUUCUUAAGAAAAGUCCAAAUUUUGUUAUGGAAAGAAUUUGUUAACUUACAAUCAGAAAAUUGAUUUCUGUUUGGUUAAUAUGAUUGUUUCUCAAUUAUAAUUCAACAUUUUAUUGCUGACAUAGAGUUUUACAUGGGGAGGACAUUCCAUGAUAAGUCAUCCAUUCGCUAGGACUCACAGGAGGAACAGUGCUUUGAAUCAGACAAGCUCGUUUUUUUUAUAUCAUGCCAAUAUCUAAGAUUAUGAUGGCCUUGGAUAUCUUAUUUACUCAGCUAUUGAAUUUCAUGUAUCAAUUUGUUAUUUCAGGAUGUGUUCUCAUAGAGAUACACAGUAUCUGAUUACUGUAGUUCACGAAUUGUGUAUUUUUCAAAUGCUUUUUUAAAUUUUCAAAUGGUACUUCGGAAGAUGUUUUGUUUUGUUUUCUUUUUUCUUAUUUGAUUAAUCCUUCUUAAAGUUUAAGCAUUAUGUAUUUUUUUGAAAUCUUUAAAUUACUUGGAUUUUGAUUUGAUCAAAAGAUCCUAUAUGAUUUUUUUUAUUUUUUUUUUUCUUUUGAUUCAAAGUUUAGAGGAAAGUAGAAAAUAUGCGGGCAGAAGGAAGAAAUCGAUGAGCUCUCAAAGAUAUAGGAAACCUUGUGCCUUCUCCAGCUAUCUGUUGAGGGAAAGUCCCAAACUUAGAUCUUUCGCUCCAUAACAAGGUAUACAUUUAUUUGGCUUUGUGCUUGUAGGGGUUAACUGAACACAUAAAAUAUUUGCUUUCAUGAGUUUUUGUGCUCAAUUAUUGGUAAAUACACAAGCAGCAGCUGAGAAGAAAAGUAAUAUGUCUCUAUUUUCUCAUAAAAAUUCCUAGGUAUAAGCCUUUGUUUAAAUCAUGGUUUCUUCCCCAAGAUUUUUAACGUAAAAGCUCUUUUGACAGCCAAAGGUACUUGGGAUAAACUUCAUAGCUUUCAUACUUAUAUUUUGUAGGAUUGAAGGCAUAGAAGAACUCGAGCUGGUAGUGCAAAGAUAAAUUCGUAGAAAACUAUGACACUGAUAAAAGCGAUAUUCAAGAUCCAACGUGACAUAAGAAAGAUUCUUUUCUUCCCAAAAAGGUGCUAAUCAUAAUGCACACGUUUGAAGAGAGUGUGGUAGACAUGUGGGAAGAGGGAGUUUGCCUUGUAUUUUUUCUUUUUAAAUUUUAUUAAUUUUUUUUGUUUUUAUUUUGCUUUUUAGAUCUUUUUGUGAUUUCUUUUGAAAAUUUUUGUUUUUGUAUGAGUAGAUCGAAAGAAAAUUAUUUUUUAUAAAAAAUAGUGCCUUUGUGAGAAAUCUGAAUACAUUGUUG
rnacentral:lncRNA from 1 species